UACGGAGGGUGCUAGCGUUGUUCGGAAUUACUGGGCGUAAAGGGCGCGUAGGCGGUUCGUUAAGUCCUGUGUGAAAUCCCCCGGCUCAACUGGGGAACUGCACAGGAAACUAGCGGGCUUGAGUUCGGGAGAGGGAAGCGGAAUUCCGGGUGUAGCGGUGAAAUGCGUAGAUAUCCGGAGGAACACCGGUGGCGAAGGCGGCUUCCUGGACCGACACUGACGCUGAGGCGCGAAAGCUAGGGGAGCAAACGGG
rnacentral:rRNA from 1 species